GAUGAACGCUGGCGGCGUGCCUAAUACAUGCAAGUCGAGCGAACAGACGAGGAGCUUGCUCCUCUGACGUUAGCGGCGGACGGGUGAGUAACACGUGGAUAACCUACCUAUAAGACUGGGAUAACUUCGGGAAACCGGAGCUAAUACCGGAUAAUAUAUUGAACCGCAUGGUUCAAUAGUGAAAGACGGUUUUGCUGCCACUUAUAGAUGGAUCCGCGCCGCAUUAGCUAGUUGGUAAGGUAACGGCUUACCAAGGCAACGAUGCGUAGCCGACCUGAGAGGGUGAUCGGCCACACUGGAACUGAGACACGGUCCAGACUCCUACGGGAGGCAGCAGUAGGGAAUCUUCCGCAAUGGGCGAAAGCCUGACGGAGCAACGCCGCGUGAGUGAUGAAGGUCUUCGGAUCGUAAAACUCUGUUAUUAGGGAAGAACAAAUGUGUAAGUAACUAUGCACGUCUUGACGGUACCUAACCAGAAAGCCACGGCUAACUACGUG
rnacentral:rRNA from 1 species